GUGCCAUGUGGGAUGAACUCGUCCCUUACAUGUAGCCAUCAUAUGUUUCAAUUUGUCAGCUAAUCAUCUUUACUUUUAGCUGAUUAUUAAUAUGAUGGAACAUGC